UACGGAGGGGGCGAGUGUUGUUCGGAAUUACUGGGCGUAAAGGGCGCGCCGGCGGCUUGGCAAGUCGAGUGUGAAAUACCUCAGCUUAACUGAGGAACGGCGCUCGAAACUACCUCGCUUGAGGGCGGGAGAGGGAAGUGGAACUCUCGGUGUAGGGGUGAAAUCUGUAGAUAUCGAGAGGAACACCGGUGGCGAAGGCGGCUUCCUGGCCCGUACCUGACGCUGAGGCGCGAAAGCGUGGGGAGCAAACAGG
rnacentral:rRNA from 1 species